rnacentral:tRNA from 1 species
GGCUCGUUGGUCUAGGGGUAUGAUUGCUGCUUAGGGUGCAGGAGGUCCCGGGUUCAAAUCCCGGACGAGCCC